rnacentral:rRNA from 1 species
GCUUACGGCCAUACCACCCUGAACACGCCCGAUGUCGUCUGAUCUCGGAAGCUAAGCAGGGUCGGGCCUGGUCAGUACUUGGAUGGGAGACCGCCUGGGAAUACCAGGUGCUGUAAGCU